GGGGAAUGCCUCAGGGGGAGUGGAGGAGGCACACUGGAGGGUGCCCAGGCUCUAAGCUUUCAGACAUGGCCAGGGCUCCCAGGUUCCCACCUCCCAGGACUACGGACUGGGUCAUCGGGUGCAGAGCCUGGACUGAUGGGGAAGAAAGAACUCACCUCACUGGGAGAAAGAGGACUCUGAGUCAUGGGCUGAGGACAGAACAGUUCCCGGUCUCAAAUGCAUAGCACAUGAAUGACUUUAGCUGAAGCUGGGAUAAUAGGGGACGAGGAGAAGUAGACCUUUUUUCCUGCCUGAGCAGAUGGAGAAUGGAAAGGGUUUCAGUCUCUUUCCUUACCACCUCUGAUUAGCUAUUGAUUAGCUAUAGAAAUUUCAAGGGAAAGAAUGCACCUGAGAAGAGGGGAAAUUGGACAGUUUGUUUGCAGCUUGAAAGAGAAUGUCUUAGCACCUCAUUUUGCAAGAGGAACCUGUGAUCACCCCCCCACCCCAAAGUUGACUGGGAAAUCAAAGCAGCCAACGGUACCAUAACUCACCUGCAAACAUCUAGUGCUUUGCGAGCAUCUCCUGAAAUGGCAGAGACUUUCCGGGCACAGAACUGAAUCGCAGCGUUGUCUAGAACCUGGUCUUGAGAUACCUUUGGAGAAG